rnacentral:rRNA from 1 species
UACAGAGGGGGCGAGCGUUGUUCGGAAUUACUGGGCGUAAAGGGCGCGUAGGCGGCCUUCUAAGUCGAACGUGAAAUCCCCGGGCUCAACCCGGGAACUGCGUCCGAUACUGGGAGGCUUGAAUCCGGGAGAGGGAUGUGGAAUUCCAGGUGUAGCGGUGAAAUGCGUAGAUAUCGGGAGGAACACCAAUGGCGAAGGCAGCUUGCUGGGACGGUACUGACGCUGAGGCGCGAAAGCGUGGGGAGCAAACAGG